rnacentral:rRNA from 1 species
AUACGGAGGGUGCGAGCGUUAAUCGGAAUUACUGGGCGUAAAGCGUGCGUAGGCGGUUUGUUAAGUCAGAAGUGAAAGCCAUGGGCUCAACCUGGGAACGGCUUUUGAGACUGGCAGACUAGAGUUGAGUAGAGGGGAGUGGAAUUUCCGGUGUAGCGGUGAAAUGCGUAGAGAUCGGAAGGAACACCAGUGGCGAAGGCGACUCCCUGGACUCAAACUGACGCUGAGGUACGAAAGCGUGGGUAGCAAACAGGAUUAGAAACCCUAGUAGUCC